rnacentral:rRNA from 1 species
GACGAACGCUGGCGGCGUGCCUAAUACAUGCAAGUAGAACGCACAGUUUAUACCGUAGCUUGCUACACCAUAGACUGUGAGUUGCGAACGGGUGAGUAACGCGUAGGUAACCUGCCUGGUAGCGGGGGAUAACUAUUGGAAACGAUAGCUAAUACCGCAUAAUAUUAAUUAUUGCAUGAUAAUUAAUUGAAAGGUGCAAUUGCACCACUACCAGAUGGACCUGCGUUGUAUUAGCUAGUAGGUGAGUUAACGGCUCACCUAGGCGACGAUACAUAGCCGACCUGAGAGGGUGAUCGGCCACACUGGGACUGAGACACGGCCCAGACUCCUACGGGAGGCAGCAGUAGGGAAUCUUAGGCAAUGGACGAAAGUCUGACCGAGCAACGCCGCGUGAGUGAAGAAGGUUUUCGGAUCGUAAAGCUCUGUUGUAAGAGAAGAACGGGUGUGAGAGUGGAAAGUUCACACUGUGACGGUAUCUUACCAGAAAGGGACGGCUAACUACGUG